AUUGAACGCUGGCGGCGUGCUUAACACAUGCAAGUCGGUCGGUAACAGGUGUAGCAAUACAUGCUGACGAGAGGCGGACGGGUGAGUAAUGCUUGGGAAUCUGCCUAUUAGUGGGGGACAACCCGGGGAAACUCGGGCUAAUACCGCAUACGCUCUACGGAGGAAAGCCGGGGACCGCAAGGCCUGGCGCUAAUAGAUGAGCCCAAGUCGGAUUAGCUAGUUGGUAGGGUAACGGCCUACCAAGGCGACAAUCCGUAGCUGGUCUGAGAGGACGACCAGCCACACCGGAACUGAGACACGGUCCGGACUCCUACGGGAGGCAGCAGUGGGGAAUAUUGGACAAUGGGGGCAACCCUGAUCCAGCGACGCCGCGUGGGUGAAGAAGGCCUGCGGGUUGUAAAGCCCUUUCGGUGGGGAAGAAAAGUCUCGACCUAAUACGUCGGGACCUUGACGUAACCACUAAAGAAGCACCGGCUAACUCUGUGCCAGCCGCCGCCGU
rnacentral:rRNA from 1 species